rnacentral:lncRNA from 1 species
CGGGAAAAGAAUAACCUUGGGUUUGAGCAACCCAUUUUUAGGCCUAAUUUUGGACCUAGCCCAUAAUUCCUAGGCCCAUACCCCUUAACCUAAAAACAAACCCCUAUAUAUGCCUAGACCCUAGACCUACAUAAAAAAACGAAAAAAGAUCUAAGGAAAAAAGCUGGCAAGUGCCGCAAUACAAGGACCCACCCUCUGAAUCCCGUCUUCUUCAUCCCUCUCCCGUCGAUGUUUCUUCUUCUCCACCCUUUUCACUAACCUUCAAUAGCAUUCCACCAUGCUGUUCACCGUCACGCCACCGCCAGCAACCAAUCCAAACGGAUCAGCGGCUUAGUUCCCUAACCUCCCAUCAACACACACACAUACAAGAACAAAAGAACACAAAAAAAAAACGAAACAAAGUGUGUAAAACACCAGAAAAUCGAAAUGAAACAUAAGUUUCAGUCAUCUUGUUUCUGAUUUCUAUUUCAGUUUUAUUAUGGAAUUCGUUUGAGUUUUCGCUGUUUCGAGCUUGACUAAAACCAUUAUCCUCUCGAGAUCUCGUUUGAGGUUGAGUCCAUUUUUGGAGCUCGUUUGUGAGAUCUGUUCGGAGGCAAGUAUUGAAGUUUCGAGUUCGUCGAGGUCCGGUUCGACGAGGCGAUGAGAAACAGAUUGAUUCACUGUUUUCAGUUCUUUAAUCUGGUAAUUAUCAAGUACCCGUUAUUUUCUACUAUUAGUAUUUUUGUCUCUGUUUUGGUUCUUGUGGAAGAACCGAGAAAGGAAGCUUCAGAAACUAGGCAAGAUUUACUAAAGUUUUGGUGUAUGUUCUUUCUUGGAUUUUGGAUGUAAAACUUAAUUAGUAUUUCAAUCUCUGUUUUAAAAGUUCUUUGACUUCUGCUAUAAUGCAAUUCAACAGUAAAAGUGGAAUCUCUCAAAUUUUUAUUAAUAGGAAUUAAAUGGACCCGGAUAGAGUGUAAUUAUUGUUUGAUUUGUUAAUUAUAAGUUAAAUAGAUUUUUCUUGUUAGUAGGAAAUAAAUCAAUAUUUAUAAAUACUAGUAGUUUGCUUUUUUGCGCGAUUAAUAAUAAAUCAUCGUGACUACGGGUAUGGUCCCCAUGGCGUGGUUGUGAUACUUAAUCUCAAAAUUAGUGUUAAAUAGGAAUAUUUGUAGUUCAUGUAGUUGAAUACUUUCCUCUUAAUAAAAUUGAGGCAUGCCAUACCAAACAAAAUUUAUAAUCCAUGGCCUUCAUAAGAUUAGAUUCAAGAACUAACACUUAUAGGAAAAAGUUUGAGAUGUGUCAUGCCAAACAAAAUUCCUAAGUCCAUGGCCCUCAUAAAACUAGCUAGCUUUUAUACGAAAAUUGAGGUGCGUCAUCAAUUGAAUUUUCCAUGGCCCUCGCAAACGUUGUUAUUAAUUUGAACCUUCGUAGUUGCUUUAUGUGCGUUCUUUAGAUUGAUUUUCUUUUAAUUAAUAAAAUCCGGGGGUACAUUUCAUGUGGUCCGGUUCUAACUCCCAGCAAGGUUAAAUAGAACGUAUCGUGACUCACGGGUGCAUUUCAUGUAGCAUGGCUUGCGAUGUAUUUUAAAUAACCUUGAAUUUUUCUUAAAUAAAUAAAAGCAGUUUAAAAGUUAAACAAUGCACAUAGGUUUAAAAGUGUUUUAAAAUCAGAUAAAUAGGCCGAUAAUAACAGUUGAGCGAUCGUGCUAAAACCACGGAACCUGGAAUGCCUAACACCUUCUCCAGGGUUAAUAGAAUUCCUUACCCGGAUUUCUUUGUUCGUGGACCGUAAAACAGAGUCAAUCUUUCCUCGAUUCGAGAUUUAAACCGGUGACUUUGGAUACCAUAAAUUAUCCAAAGUGGCGACUUUGAUUUCUUAAAUAAUCUUGUUUCGAUUGUCACUUUAAUUGGAAAAACUCCCUUAUACCCUUCCGGGGGUGUGAAAAAGGAGGUGUGACAGCUCUAGCGACUCUGUUGGGGACAUCCAACACAGAAUCUCUAGUUCAGGGUUCAAGAAUUCGAGCUUAGAAUAAUUAUUAUAUUUGGCUUUAUUUAUUAUCUGGUUUUAUUUACAUGCUUGGGCCUAAUGUGCUAAAUAUUGCUUUUUACCGCUUUGAUAUUGUCGAACUGUAUAUAAAUUGAUACGAAACCCUCCUCUCUCUGAGUCUUCUAAAUCAUCUGGGAAGUGUGCACUUUGUGUGACUUCUCUUCUGUUAGAGUCAUAUUCCAAUUUUAGAAUGAGGUUCGGACAAGUUGCAAAGCCGGUGAAGCUUCUGUAUUCCCGGUACGCUUCCCCCCCCCCCCGGCCUCGAGCUGUCCGUUCGGGUAAGCCAGGUCUAGAAAAAAUAAACCUAGGAUUUUAAACCUAGAAUAACAUAGCCUCAUAUCGGAUCCCUAGUAGGAACGCUUGUUUGCAUCACGUGCAUUUGACUUAGGAGACUCAACACAGGGGUUGGGUCCGUCUAGGAUAGAUGUACUCAAAAUAACAGAUCAUCUUGAUGCAUCCUAAGUGCUACAUGUUGCAUUUCUUCAAGGGUAAAAGGGUCAUUUGGUAGACCAAUGAUAGUUGAGGGCAAAUGAAAAAGAAAAAGAAAAGAAAAAAGAGAGGGUGAAGUGUGAAAAUAAAACAAGUCGGGCCAGUUAUGUUUUCUUUCACAUUUUUGUUAAGAAAAAAAAACAUGAAAAAAUUUUAAGCUAUUCAUUUCAAAAAUCCAAAAAGAUUUUUUUUUGAGGUUCUUCUUCGAGAAAUUAAUGAAAAAUGAAUAAAAUAUAUUCUUUUAUUUUCACUAAAACUUUAGGAUAUUGUACAUAGAAGAAAAAAGAAACAUACUUUAUCUUUUGUUUAUCUUUAAUGUUUCUUCCUUAGGUAAUCAAAACUGAAAUUCAAAAAUAUUUUUAUCUUUUUCAUUUAUCAUUUUGAAAUCUUUCUUCAGGGAUAUCAAAUGAAAAUUCAAAAUAUUUUUUCUAGGUUAUUCUUUAGAUUUCCUUCCUAAAAAAAAGAAUCAAAAAAUAAUUUUCUCAUCUAGGGGUUUUCCUUAAUAAUUACCCAUAGAGUAUUUGUUUCAAAAAGGAAAAAAAGAAAAAAAAUAUAUGAUCGUUAUGCUUAAGUUUAGAAUAGGUUAUAGAACAUUAAGUCUAUACAAAAAAAAGAGUUUUUCUUCUUUUAUCUUUUCUUAUAAGAAUAGUCCUUAAGGCAAAAUAGAAAGAAAAAGAGAAUGUUAGUUUGUUUGCUUUAUUUUCGAUCUUCCAGAACUAUGCAAAGAUCUGAUUCAUGUGGCGUCACGAUACGUAGGCAACCUACAUAGGUUUCGAUCGAAUUAUUUUUUAUUUAUUAAAAGAAAAAAAGGAAAAAGGGAAAAAAAGAGAAAAAAGAGGUGAAAUUAUGGGACGUGAGAAAUGAGAGGAAAAAAAGAGUGAUAGUUAGAAAAAAAGAGGAAGUAAAAUGAGCAAGCAAGUGCUAGAAAAGCAAAGAAAAGAGAUGAUUGAAAUGAACAAAUUGGGAUGAUGCCAAUUGACCUUCGUACCUUCGAAGUCAUUUUAGAGCCGAUAACUGUGGCUAGAUGCAUUACACAUAAAGUGAGAUUAUCUUAUGUUAAAUGCUUUAACGCUAACGUGAUGGUCUCAUUUUGUUAUAUUCAUAGCAGAAAGGUGGUUGGUUUGUGAUUUUUGAAGUGGUAACUCCUCUCUACAACAUAAAGCCAAAAGGCAAUGAUAGAUAAAACAUGAUUGAGUUGGUUGAUACCGGUGCCCGAAAGCAGUUGGUUAAACAGGACAUUGGGUUGGCUGAUUAGGUAAGGAUGUUAAGAAAACACAUGACGGACAUGUAUCAUGCUUGGAUGAAUGGGAAGGUACCACCCCCGCCACUACCUAGCUUCCUAGAUACUACCCUUACCCAAACUCCGGUCAUAGUGCCAGAUGAUCCCCCAUACUCUCCAGAUCCACCCGCUUAUCACAGCUUUCCCAACCACCCUAGUAGCUCAAUCACUCGUCCUCUAGUUACCUUUCCCCAAAAUUGCCCUACUGUCAUAGCCACUAUCCCCAAUAAUAAAGACCCACUCAAAUCACAUGAUGCCCAACAUUACCCCGUAGAGGUUGCCCACAAGGUUCAUGACUCAUACAAGUAGAGCCCUCGGGGUGAGCCUCAUACUGAAAAUGAAAAGAUCACAGGAAAAGAAGGGCGAGAUGAGUUGUCCAGGAAUCUAAAAAGCAUAGAACAGUCCUUAAAGAACAUGCAAGGGGUAGGAAACCAGGUUAGCAUGUCUUACAAAGAAUUGUGUAUGUUCUCUGACGUUCGUCUGCCCGCGGGGUUUAAAGUGCCAAAGUUUAAUUUGUAUGAUGGAUGUGGAGACCCGGUAGCCCAUUUGAGGGUUUAUUGCAGUAAAAUGAGAAGUUUUGGCGAGAAAGAUAAUUUGUUGAUGACGUAUUUUAGUAAGAGCUUGACAAGGGCAGCUUUGGAAUGGCAUAAUUGUCAAGAUGUCGGUAAGUGGCCUACAUUGGGUGACAUGGCUCAAGAUUUUCUUCGACACUUUCAAUACAAAUUAAGCAUUACCCCAGACCACUCCUCCCUAUCUAAAAUGGAAAAAGAGCCGGAGGAAAACUUUAGGUAUUUGGGCUCAGAUGGAGGAAGCAAGCUGCUCGAGUCAGCCCCCCGAUUGGUAAAGAAGAAAUGGUUGAGCUUUUCCUACAAGCUCAGAGGCCCACCUACUUCAGUCAUUUGAUUCCGACCUUGGGUAAACCUUUCAAUGAUGUGGUAAAAAUGAGGGAGAUGGUAGAAGAGGGAAUCAGAUCAGGCAAAAUCAUGAGUUAUUCGGCAUUGAAUGAUACUACGGAAGACAUUCAGAACAUCCCAGUAAGUUCGGGUGAAAGAAAGAAAAAUAGAAAAGAUGAUCCGCUGGGCAUUCCUACUCAACACUUUCAGUCUCGACAUCGACCCAAUGGAUAUCUUCGUGCACCAGAUGAUCCUCCCCAAUGCUACUUCUCUCCGCAGAACCCCUAAAGUAGCACAUCACUUUUCUAGUACCCUAUCCACAAUGCACCACCAUAUGCUCCACACCCACGAGGCCCGCGAUGGCUCGCACCACUUCCCCAAAUGUCUUACCCGCCCCCUCAAGCAUAUCAGCCACCUGCCCGUAAAAGUUUCCAACCGAAGCCAGAAUACAAACUGAAAAGACUACUGAAAAAAGAAAGGGCUUUCACCCCUAUUGGAGAAUCAUAUGCCAGUUUGUUCCAAAAGUUGAGGCAAUUGGACAUGUUGAAGCCAAUUCAGAUAAAAAUGCCAAACCCUCUGCCAAAGAAGUUUGAUUUUUCUCAAAGAUGCGCAUAUUGCUCCGAUUCCCCGGGUCACAGUACAGAAAAGUGUUGGCAUUUGAAAAAUGCAAUUCAGAAGCUUAUUGAUGCUGGUGACAUGUCGUGCAAAAUCCAGAUGCAACAGACACUAGCCAAAGUCCAUUGCCUGUUCGUAAUGAGAUGCGUAUAUGGUGAGUAUGAUUUGUUAUGAAAAGGAAUAUGAGAGUUCUUCUAAGAUGCACGGAAGUCCACGCGCUGCAAAGCUUUUAGCGCUGUCAGAGAUUGAUGUUAAGAACGAGCCGGCAAAGGGAACCCAAAAGCAAUUUGUUAAGAACAAUGUGAUGAAGACAUGUGAAGGUCCUAGUAUUGUUGAUGCAGAAUUCAGUAGCUAAGAUGUUGAGCUUGGUGAUUGGAAAGAUGCUCCUUUCUUGGUUAGCCAGGGAGGAGUAUUAGUGGUUUAUUUUGUUGUCAUUUCUGUUGUCUGGUUUAUUUCAGGGUUGUAAUCCGGAUAUUGUCUUAUGGCUCAAACCCUUCUAUCCUUUUAGUUUGCCAGGUUUGUUUAGUCGUAGUAACUCAUUUAGCGCUGUCUAGGUUGUUCCAGGGUUGUAACCCCAUUUUAGUGCUUGUUUUGUUAUUUAAACCCCUUCACUGUUUGUCUAUUGCAAUUUUCUAUUUUCUAUUAUUUCUAGUCAUUUCUGUUUAGUUCUCUUCUCCUUUUAUAGUUCUCUUCAUGCUGGUUCUGGUGACAUGACAUGCACGCAUAAUUCUAGGCCUGGUCUUAAAGGUUAGUUUAAUCAUGAAGCAAUAAAACGAAGAUGAUCGGGACAUUUGAAGGAAAUAAGUAAAGGCAUUUCGAGAUCAUUUGAAGCCCGAACUGUGUGAAACUAGGGCAGAUAAUUGGAAAAGUUAAUGAGGUGACAAAAAUUCAUUAAAGAAGAGUGCAUCCCAGAUAGUUUGAAACAAACAACUUUGAAUUCAAGUGCAUCUCAAGUUACAAGAUAAAGUCAAGAAAGUUGUCUCUGAAUUGACGGAGGAUAUCCAUUGUGAAGAGGGGAUCACACAACGAGGGUUCUGUACUUGACAAGGCAAUAAAAAAAAAGUGGAAAGCAUAUCGCCGAUAUCAAUGUCAAAAAUGUAAAUGAAACGUUGUGCGUGCUAUUCCUUUUUCAUUUCAACUUGCAUGUGUUGUACUUGGCAUUUUCAAGGAUUGGGAGGCCAUCUUUCAGCUACCAAAACACUUAUACCAUUCGAUGCCCUUUUUGAACCUGUACUGAUUUCUUCGACCUUCUCUCUUUUGGAAUCAAGUUAGAGUCAUAAGAAAAAAGAAAAAAAGUUCAUGUCCCCAUAGGUUUAUUUUAGAUGUUCAUUCCAAAGGGAAAAAGAAAAAAAUAGAGAAAAAUAGAAAUAAAAAGAAGAAAAAAGGGAAAAAGAAAAAAAGAAAAAAGGGAAAAAAGAAAAGUAAAAUAGUAACAAAAGUAGUUUUGUGAACUACCUUUGACCUGAUUUUUGUCACCACAUGGUACGUAGGCAGCCUAACGGUUCGGUCCCACCAAUAUAAAAAUUCUAAAGUCCCCAGGCGAAGAAAUUGGGGCAGAAGUUGCGAUUUUGCAAAAGAUCUGAUUCCAAAAGUUGUAAUUCUAAGCCCAUUCAAGUUGUUUCGAGCCUUUAUAAUAUCCUUUCUUUCUAACCGUGUCCAAAAGCCACAUUACAGUCCAAAAGACCUCCCAGAUAAUCUUUGAGAGUGCCGAGUUAGCCAUGCCAGGAGCACAUGAUAUUUUUACCAUGGUUGAUGCCUUGCCAUCUGCAGAAUCAGAGGAAAUAAGAAGAAAAUAACAAAAUGAGAGAGUCUUAUUGGUGAAAACCUUUACAGGCACCACAAGGUGACGGUGAGUCGAGAGAAAUAACAAAAUGAGGAAACCCUUUAGGCACUACAAGUCGAAUAAGGAUCGGGAAUCAGAUUGGAUAAUCGGAGCGUUGAAGCCCAAUUUCACGGCUUAGGGGGUAUAACAAGAGUUGAACAUCAGACUUUCUCGACAGAUUAGGCCACUUAACCCAAAGGUGCAUGCCAUGGUCAUUAGAGUUGGUAUCCACAUCUGAUAGGUUUCUACUUGUAAUUUCUUGUUAGAAAUCACCCCUUUUCAUUGUCCUUUACUCUAGUUCUUUUGUCUUGUUUACUUCCUCUUCCUGAGUCUGUUUGGUCAGAACAAGUAAGAAAUUACUACAAAAUUUUCCACCAGCUUUCCAAUUGCACAAAAGUGGAUCUGGUUGGCACAUCAAAGUGUCAUAAGUCAGGAAAGAACAACAAGCGCACUGAGUUGGUAACAAUCAACGUGUUUUGAUAUUCAUGUGAAAUUCAAAGGAUCGGUAUACGUCAAUUCAUGAACAAUGCAAUAGAUAGAGGGUGUUGGUUUGGAACAGAUCAAAGGUAUUUUCUGUGAUAAGAUUGACAAAGAAAGUGGUUAACCAGUGACAAGCAAGGUCUUCCAAGCGGAAAUCAAAGUUAUCAUGGCAAGUGAAGGAGCAAUAGACUUCAAGCCACGGUAAGUGUUUUAAGUCAGGAAAGAACAACAUGCGCACUGAGUGGAUGUCAAUUGAUGUACUUUGGGAUUCAUGUGAAACACAAAGGUUCAGUACAUGUCAAUGCAAGAGCACAAUGCAACAGAUGAAUGGUAUUGGGUUUGAACGGAUCUGAGGUAUUUUCCGUGAUAAGGGUGACAUAGAAAGUAUUUAGUCAAUAAACAAGCAAGUUCUUUCGAGUGGAAAUCAAAGUUAUCAUGGGAAGUGAAGGAGCAAGUGCCCUCAAGGUCAAGGACAAAAACCAACCACCAUAUUUAUAAACUCACAAAUUCUCUUUGUUUGAAACAGGGACGAAAAUUGUGUCCAAAUCAAAGCUUGGAAGUUCGAGUUUUUUCAAGUGUCGUGCCCAAAUUUUGUCAACACAAAGGCGGUUUGAGAAGGGGAAAGAAAAAGUUGUUCGAUCUACAUGAACCCUCCAUGAGGAAAAGCGUGGUUCAGGGGCAAGGAAUUUUGUUCGGUCUACAGAGAUCCUCCAGGAAGAGAGCGGGGCUUAGGUAAGUUCGUUCUAGGCUUUUCAGGACCCUCCUGGAUAAUGGGACUUAAUUUAAAAUUUCAGGACCCUCUUGGAUAAUGGGACUUAAUUUAGAAUUUUCAGGACUCUCCUGGAUAAUGGGAUUUAAUUUAAAGUUCUCAGGGCCCGGAUAAUGGGAUUUAGUUUUAAGUUUUUAAGACCUUCAUAGACAAUAAGAUUUAGCGUAAGUUUUACCUUUAGGAAAUAGAAUUUAGCUUUGAAGUUGUCACUCAUGAGAUGUGAUUUAAUUUUAGAUUUUCAGGACCCUCCUGGAUAAUGGGAUUUAGCUUUUAAAUUCUUAGAUAUUUUGGGUACUAUGAUUCGAUUAACACUCACAGAUGUUCCCGAUAUCAAGCUGGGGCAGAAAAAUUUCUUUUGUUUUGUUUGUUUUAUUAUAAUCAGGUUCACAGGUAGAAAAUUCAGAAGAGUCAGUUCAAGUGUUGGAAAUCAGGCGCCCACUUGCAGAAUAGAGGGAAAACAUCAAGUUUCAAAGGAGGUCAGCAAUCAGGAGCCCACUUGAAGAACAAAGGGAAGCAGUUCAAGUUUCGAGGAAAAGCAACGCAAGUGUUGGUAUUCAGGAGCCCACCUGGAGAACGAAGGGAAGCAUCAAUGUUCAAAGGAAGACAACAAUUAGGAGCCCACCUGGAGAACGAAGGGAAACAACAAUGAUCAAAGGAAGGCAGCAAUCAGGAUCCCACCUGGAGAACAAAGGGAAGCUACAAUGUUCAAAGGAAGACAACAAUCAGGAGCCCACUUGUACAACAAAGGGAAGCAGCAAAGUUCAAAGGAAGACAACAAUCAGGAUCCCACCUGAAGAACAAAGGGAAGCAGCAAGGUUCAAAAGAAGUUUGGCAAUCAGGAGCCCACCUGGAGAACAAGACAAGUUUCGGAGGAAAGGAAGAUAAUUCAAAUGCUUGAAAUCGAAGCCCAUCCUGAGAACAAAGGGAAGGAAACAGUGGUCAAAGGAAGACGGUUCAGGUUCAGGAAUCAGGCGCCUACCUGGAGAAUAAGAGAAUACACUUUAGAAUACAAUUCAAGUUAGCAACAAAAGAAGCUCGCGGCAAGAAUGCGAGUCAACAGUCCGAGGUGAUCAACAGAAGUUAGUCACAAUAAAGAAAAAAAAGAGAAAGGCAAGAAGUUAAUCCAAAUACAGAAGUUGAUAAAAGAUGUGGGUUGCUGAAGACAUGGCCGAGGUCACAAGCACUGCAUGCCUAGUCUUGAUCUGAAAAGCUGAAGAAGGAUGAACUAGCACUUGCAACUAGCAAGCGUCAAGGUUCAAAUCUAAUGUCUGCAUGAAGAACCACUCAAGACUCAAGAUCAAGCUUCAGAAGACUUAUAUAUAGGAAUCUUGUAACUCGUAGUUGAUAGGCUUAGCUAGUCUUUUUCAUGUUUUAAUUUUUGAUGUAACAACAGGACCGCGGACCAGAAUCUCGACGACACCUCAAUCGGCUCUCCAUCUCGGUAUACUCCGUCAUCUCACUCACCUCUGAACUACACGUGGCCUGAUUCCUUUAUAGCCAAGAAUAUGUAGGCAGCUCAAAUACCAGGGCUCGAUCAUAUUCCCCUUUUCUCUUAGUUUUGGUCUCCCUAAAUAAGGGUCAGGUCAAAUAACUUGUCUAGUCGUUCUUUGUCUGAAAAUACUUCGCGUUUCCAGUCAAAGAGGGGCCGCUAUAGACAUGUGAUUUUUGACCCUCCCCAAAAUUUUUUAUAUUUUAGCAUGUAAAUAUUUAAUUUAGGCCUAAUAUCAUUAUUUCAACUAAUUUUGACUCUUUCACUUUAUUUUAUUACAAGAAAAUGAUAAUUACAAAAAAAAAAUAGUUUCAUUAAUGUUUUGUAGUCAUUUUUAAUCUUGAAAAAUACCAAUAGUUUUGUUUUAACGGCCAGUCUUAUUUUAAUAGCUAUUUUACUUAAGUAGGAUUAAUUAAUAAAUGAGAUCGUAUUUUUAGUCUCGUUUGCUGGGAAAGAAUAAACUUGGGCUCGAGCAACCCAUUUUUAGGCCUAAUUUUGGACCUAGCCUAUAAUUCCCAAGCCCAUAAUUCAUAGGCCCAUACCCCUUAACCUUAAAACAAAAAUCAUAUAUAAGCCUAGACUCUAGUCCUACAUAAAAAAACGAAAAAAGACCUAAGGAAAACAGCUGGCAAGCGCCGCAAUACAAGGACCCACCCCCUGAAUCACGUCUUCUUCAUCCCCCUCCCGUCGACAUUGCUUCUUCUCCACCCUUUUCACUGACCUUCAGAUAGUAGUUCCACCAUGCUUUUCACCGUCACGCCGCCGCCAACAACCAAUCCAAAUGGAUCAGCGGCUUAGUUCCCUCACCUCCCAUCAACACACACACUUACAAGAACAAAAAAACACAAAAAAAAAAACGAAACAGAGUGUAAAAUACCAAAAAAUCAAAAUGAAACAUAAGUUUCAGUCAUCUUCUUUCCGAUUUCUAUUUCCGUUCUAUUAUGGAAUUUGUUUAAGUUUUCGCUAUAUCGAGCUCGACUAAAACCAUCAUCCGCUCGAGGUCUCAUUUGAGGUUGAGUCCAUUUUUGGAGCUCGUUUGUGAGAUCUGUUCGGAGGCAAGUAUUGAAGUUUCGAGUUCGUCGAGGUCCGGUUCGUUGAGGCGACGGGAAACAGAUUGAUUCACUGUUUUCAGUUCUUUAAUCUGGUAAUUAUCAAGUACCCGUUAUUUUCUGCUAUUAGUAUUUUUGUCUCUGUUUUGGUUCUUGUGGAAGAAGCGAGAAAGGAAGCUUCAGAAACUAGGCAAGAUUUACUAAAGUUUUGGUGUAUGUUCUUUCUUGGAUUUUGGAUGUAAAACUUAAUUAGUAUUUCAAUCUCUGUUGUAAAAGUUCUUUGACUUCUGCUGUAAUGCAAUUCAACAGUAAAAGUGGAAUCUCUCAAAUUUUUAUUAAUAGGAAUUAAAUGGACCCGGAUAGAGUGUAAUUAUUGUUUGAUUUGUUAAUUAUAAGUUAAAUAGAUUUUUCUUGUUAGUAGGAAAUAAAUCAAUAUUUAUAAAUACUAGUAGUUUGCUUUUUUGUUUGAUUAAUAAUAAAUUAUCGUGACUACGGGUAUGGUUUCCAUGACGUGGUUGUGAUACUUAAUCUCAAAAUUAGUGUUAAAUAGGAAUAUUC